GGCCGCCGCGGGGAGGGCGCCAUCUUGGCCCGGCGGAGCGUGAUUGCCUCGGCUGGGAUCGUGGGAGGCGCAGAGGUUCGGCGUCUGGCUGCGGCUGACACCUCCCCGGGCUUCGCUUCCCGUACUACUACUGCCGGUUAGUCAAGUGAAGCCAUGGGAGUGGAGAAAGUACAAAGAAAUCUGUAAUUGGUUGUGAUCAAUUAGUUAUAAACACCACUGCACUCGGACCAGCCUGCUUUGAUAUGGAGUCUUGC